AUAACUAAUUCUUCAAAAGUUGGAAUGAGGUCAUCAUGUUGACUGAAACAACUUCUCUAAUACUCCUAUAUGCGUAGGAUUUUAACAGAAAUCUUGGGUAUAAAGCUAGGUGAAGUCGGCUGAACGAUGCCUAAGUGAGUUUUGUAUGGCUCAUAAGGCAAAGGAUAGGUCGGGAGGCUAUAAA
rnacentral:ncRNA from 1 species